AUUGAACGCUGGCGGCAGGCCUAACACAUGCAAGUCGAGCGAGCGGCGGACGGGUGAGUAAUGUAUGGGGACUGCCCGAUAGAGGGGGAUAACUACUGGAAACGGUGGCUAAUACCGCAUACUAUCGGAUAACCCAUAUGGGAUUAGGUAGUAGGUGGGGUAAAGGCUCACCUAGGCGACGAUCUCUAGCUGGUCUGAGAGGAUGAUCAGGCACACUGGGAAUGAGAAACGGCCCAGCCUCCAAGGGAGGCAGCAGUGGGGAAUAUUGCACAAUGGGCGAAAGCCUGAUGCAGCCAAGCCGCGUGUAUGAAGAAGGCCUGAGGGUUGUAAAGGACUUACAGCGGGGAGGCGUUACCCGCAGAAGAAGCACAGGCUAACUCCGUGCAAGCAGCCGCGGUAAUAC
rnacentral:rRNA from 1 species